CCUACGGGGGGCUGCAGUGGGGAAUAUUGGACAAUGGGGGGAACCCUGAUCCAGCCAUGCCGCGUGUGUGAAGAAGGCCCUCGGGUUGUAAAGCACUUUCAGUGAGGAAGAACGCCUGGUGGUUAAUACCCAUCAGGAAAGACAUCACUCACAGAAGAAGCACCGGCUAACUCCGUGCCAGCAGCCGCGGUAAUACGGAGGGUGCGAGCGUUAAUCGGAAUUACUGGGCGUAAAGCGCGCGUAGGUGGCUUGAUAAGCCGGUUGUGAAAGCCCCGGGCUCAACCUGGGAACGGCAUCCGGAACUGUCAAGCUAGAGUGCAGGAGAGGAAGGUAGAAUUCCCGGUGUAGCGGUGAAAUGCGUAGAGAUCGGGAGGAAUACCAGUGGCGAAGGCGGCCUUCUGGACUGACACUGACACUGAGGUGCGAAAGCGUGGGUGGCAAACAGGAUUAGAUACCCGAGUAGUC
rnacentral:rRNA from 1 species